rnacentral:lncRNA from 1 species
GUCUCUGAAAAACAGAAAAAGGCAUUAAAUUAAUACUAGCACCUAAAUCAAUUAAAGCACGUUUAAAAUGAGAAUUUCCAAUUGUGCAUGAAAUUGUAAAACUCCCUGGAUCUUGUUUCUUUGAGGGCAACUUGUGAAGCAGAACAGCGCUGCACUGUUCUGUAAGAAUCACUUUCUCAAAAUCAACAAGCUUCUUUUUCUUUGUGCAAACAUCCUUAAAAAACUUGGCUUAAGACGGAAUGUUCUUGAUGGCAUCAAUUAACGGCAAAUUAAUCUGAACCUUAG